CAUAAGCCAGGCUAUAAGAAGAAAGGAGGAGAGGCCUUUGCCCUCUCUUUCUCCUUCUAGCGGCUUUGGAGGUGCGGAUUUCCCUGCUGUUGAGUCUGUCAGGUUGGGGAGUGAGGCCUGAUAAGGCCUUGCCGACCUUGGGAGGCAGAGGUUGCCGGCAGUCACUCCGGCGUGACUUUCCAUUGUCCCAAGGAGAGUAACACAUAGAAACGGCAGAAAAGCUGUAGACUGGCUCCUGGACACCUGAGAGGCAACUCAAUAGCCUAAGAGGCAUCAUGAGGCCAAAUAAAAAGUGUUGCUGCUCUUUCUGUAGCCCUGGUCCAUCCACUUCAGCUUCAAGCCAAAGCCAGGAGAGAGGAAAGUAAAGGACCAGGGCAAUGGACUGUCCCUGUUGCUCCAAAAUGUGCAUUUGAUAAGGAUUGCUUGGCUCACAGAAAAUACAGCUUAGUGGGAAUGCAAAGCCACACAUUUUUGUCUUUUUCAGCCAUGGGUGCUUGCCUUUAUACAGGGAACAAGGGGACAGAAACUGCAAUUAUGAUGAAUUUUUUUCUUCUGGUGCUUUUUCCACUAAUGCACCAUUAACUCUUUACAAACAUAAGGUUCAUCAUUCCAGUCCUAUAAUGACCACUGUAUUUCCUGUCUAAUUCAAUUAGUGUGUUUAUCCUUUCUGACUCUUGCUGGCACCUGAGUAGAAUUGUGAUGAUACAGGGGAUACAUGGAGGAGUAGAGUCAUCUUCCACUACCAUGAAGGACUGCAACACUAAAAGUCACAGCAGAGGUAAGAUAACUACUACCUGUGCACCUUGUCCCAGUGGAUCCUGGGGAUAAUACCAGUUGUGUCAUAGUUUAGGAGAAGCUGAUAAAAGGAAACAAAUUUUAUUUUUCUUGGCAAUUUUUUUUACUUUUACCUCUCCUUUUCAUUUUUUCAUUCUGUUUUAUUCUAAAGUUUGCCUUGUAAAUCAGCAGGUACAAAUUCCUAUUUUUUGCUCAAGUGCCUUCCUGCUGAAAGGGCCACACACAUCAUUAAAGUCUGCACCAAAAAAACCUGAACUGUUACACACUGCAGGUUUGCAGUGAUGAGUCUCUCAAGCACAAAGCCAGCAGAUA